AAACUAUGAUUUGGAGACUUUUCUAAAUACUUCUUGAAUCUCUCCCACGCUUCAUAUAGGUGCUCCCCCGGAAGCUGUUUGAAAUCAUAAAUCUUACCACGAAUUUU